UACGAAGGGGGCUAGCGUUGCUCGGAAUUACUGGGCGUAAAGCGCACGUAGGCGGCUUUCUAAGUCGGGGGUGAAAUCCUGGAGCUCAACUCCAGAACUGCCUUCGAUACUGGAGAGCUCGAGUCCGGGAGAGGUGAGUGGAACUGCGAGUGUAGAGGUGAAAUUCGUAGAUAUUCGGAGGAACACCAGUGGCGAAGGCGGCUCACUGGCUCGAUACUGACGCUGAGGUGCGAAAGCGUGGGGAGCAAACAGG
rnacentral:rRNA from 1 species